rnacentral:rRNA from 1 species
AAUAUUGGCCAAUGGGGGCAACCCUGAUCUAGCCCUGUCGCGUGUCUGAAGGAGGUCUUCGGAUUUUAAAGCACUUUAAGUUGUGAGGAAGUGUUUUAGGUUACUACCAAGAAGAUUUGACGUUACCAUCAGAUGAAGCACCGGCUACCUUCGUGCCAUCAGCCGCGGUAAUACAGUGGGUGCAAGCGUUAAUCGGAAUUACUGUGCGCAAAGCGCGCGUAGGUGGUUCAGUAAGAUGUGUGUGAAAUCCCCGGGCUUAACCUGGGAACUGCUUUCAUAACUGCUGAGCUAGAGUACGGUAGAGGGUAGUAGAAUUUCCUGUGUAGCGGGGAAAUGCGUAGUUAUAGGAAGGAACACCAGUGGCGAAGACGACUACCUGGACUGAUACUGACACUGGGGUGCGAAAGCGUGGGGAGCAAA